ACUGAUGUGUUGUUGGGUAGGGGAGCGUUCUGUAAGCCGUUGAAGGUGUGUCGUGAGGCAUGCUGGAGGUAUCAGAAGUGCGAAUGCUGACAUAAGUAACGAUAAAGCGGGUGAAAAGCCCGCUCGCCGGAAGACCAAGGGUUCCUGUCCAACGUUAAUCGGGGCAGGGUGAGUCGACCCCUAAGGCGAGGCCGAAAGGCGUAGUCGAUGGGAAACGGGUUAAUAUUCCCGUACUUGGUGUUACUGCGAAGGGGGGACGGAGAAGGCUAUGUUGGCCGGGCGACGGUUGUCCCGGUUUAAGCGUGUAGGUGUGUGUUCCAGGUAAAUCCGGUUCACUUUAACACUGAGGCGUGAUGACGAGGCACUACGGUGCUGAAGCAACAAAUGCCCUGCUUCCAGGAAAAGCCUCUAAGCCUCAGGUAACAUCAAAUCGUACCCCAAACCGACACAGGUGGUCAGGUAGAGAAUACCAAGGCGCUUGAGAGAACUCGGGUGAAGGAACUAGGCAAAAUGGUGCCGUAACUUCGGGAGAAGGCACGCUGACACGUAGGUGAAGUGGUUUACCCAUGGAGCUGAAGUCAGUCGAAGAUACCAGCUGGCUGCAACUGUUUAUUAAAAACACAGCACUGUGCAAACACGAAAGUGGACGUAUACGGUGUGACGCCUGCCCGGUGCCGGAAGGUUAAUUGAUGGGGUCAGCGCAAGCGAAGCUCCUGAUCGAAGCCCCGGUAAACGGCGGCCGUAACUAUAACGGUCCUAAGGUAGCGAAAUUCCUUGUCGGGUAAGUUCCGACCUGCACGAAUGGCGUAAUGAUGGCCAGGCUGUCUCCACCCGGGACUCAGUGAAAUUGAACUCGCUGUGAAGAUGCAGUGUACCCGCGGCAAGACGGAAAGACCCCGUGAACCUUUACUAUAGCUUGACACUGAACACUGGUCCUUGAUGUGCAGGAUAGGUGGGAGGCUUUGAAGUGUGGACGCCAGUCUGCAUGGAGCCGUCCUUGAAAUACCACCCUUUAAUGGCUGGUGUUCUAACGUGGGCCCGUGAACCGGGUUGCGGACAGUGUCUGGUGGGUAGUUUGACUGGGGCGGUCUCCUCCUAAAGAGUAACGGAGGAGCACGAAGGUUGGCUAAUCCUGGUCGGACAUCAGGAGGUUAGUGCAAUGGCAUAAGCCAGCUUGACUGCGAGCGUGACGGCGCGAGCAGGUGCGAAAGCAGGUCAUAGUGAUCCGGUGGUUCUGAAUGGAAGGGCCAUCGCUCAACGGAUAAAAGGUACUCCGGGGAUAACAGGCUGAUACCGCCCAAGAGUUCAUAUCGACGGCGGUGUUUGGCACCUCGAUGUCGGCUCAUCACAUCCUGGGGCUGAAGUAGGUCCCAAGGGUAUGGCUGUUCGCCAUUUAAAGUGGUACGCGAGCUGGGUUUAGAACGUCGUGAGACAGUUCGGUCCCUAUCUGCCGUGGGCGCUGGAAGAUUGAGGGGGGCUGCUCCUAGUACGAGAGGACCGGAGUGGACGCAUCACUGGUGUUCGGGUUGUCAUGCCAAUGGCACUGCCCGGUAGCUACAUGCGGAAGAGAUAAGUGCUGAAAGCAUCUAAGCACGAAACUUGCCCCGAGAUGAAUCUUCCCUGAGCCUUUAAGGCUCCUGAAGGAACGUUGAAGACGACGACGUUGAUAGGCCGGGUGUGUAAGCGCAGCGAUGCGUUGAGCUAACCGGUACUAAUGAACCGUGAGGCUUAACCUUACAAC
rnacentral:rRNA from 1 species